rnacentral:antisense_RNA from 1 species
AGUUAACGGAAAAAAGUCUACAUCUUUUGCUUCUUUAGAUGCUACUGCUGUAGUUAAUACGACAGUAUCUCCAUAUGUUACUAACACUGCUGCAUUUGCUUGCCUUGCUAAUUCUCCAAUUUCUAUUUUUAAUUCUCUUCCCGCUAAUGUUGUUGUAUAUAUUUUUUUAUUUUCAAACAUUAUUUUUACCUUUCAAUUUUAUUUAUUUUUCACAUACUAUAACUACAUUAUUAUACUAUGUAUUACGAGAAAAUACAACAACAAUAUAAUUUAUGUUAAA